ACACCUCCAUGCCAGUGCUUCUUCACAUUAAGACUCCAAGAAUGACCGUUUCCCGCGGGAAAGAGAGCAGCCGAACGCCAAACAUCAGCACAAACAGAAGGUGUUGGAGAGACUCCUUAGGAUCCGGAGACGGGCGGUGAAAUAUCUAAGAGGGCCUCUGAGGUAGCUGGUUAAAAUGCAGCCGCUGCACAGCCAAAGCCGGAACUGUCAGGGAACUGAAGCCCCCUGGCCCUGAACCAAAUCCCGGCACAGGAAAGCCAGGCUGUUUCUUACAGGAAACCCCAUCCAGCGAAUGCCCACUGCUGCCAGUGCCUGUGCGCACCCCGGAGACGCAUCAGACAACCAGCAAAACCAGGCCCAUUGGACUUCACAGAUCUCUCCUGGUGCAGCCGGUUCGGAACCUUGUGGAGUUGGCUGCCUGCCCGGGAAACACAUGUGCAAUCCCACCCUUCCUCAACCAACCUACACACUGAAUGUACAUGCCAACUAGAUGCCACGUGAGUGAUAUACUCAGACAAGAGAGGAUGCUGUCCCUAUUUCCAGAUGCUUCGAGUAGGAGCUAAGGUGAAGGUGGUAAGUACCCAGGACCUUCUGGGUUCAGGCUCCCUGAAUGCCACUGUGGGUUAUCAAGCAAUCCUCUGCUGAGACUUACACUUCGGGGAAUGUCCAGAGGAAGAGCUCCACAGUCCUCCUUUGGCUCCCAGAAUUGGUACCAAGGUGUUCUCCAUCUCCAUCUCAAACACACCAAAAUCAGAGGACAUGCAGCUGUUUUAUAUCAGGUGGUCUAGAAUUUGCAUAUACCCUGCAAAUAUCCCUUUUAAUUAAAAUAAUCUCCAGAUUUCUUAUAAUUAAAUGCUUGGUGUGAUGUAAAUG
rnacentral:lncRNA from 1 species